GACGAACGCUGGCGGCGUGCUUAACACAUGCAAGUCGAACGGAAAGGCCUCUUUCGGGGGGUACUCGAGUGGCGAACGGGUGAGUAACACGUGAGUAACCUGCCCUUGACUUUGGGAUAACUUCAGGAAACUGGGGCUAAUACCGGAUAGGAGCUCCUGCUGCAUGGUGGGGGUUGGAAAGUUUCGGCGGUUGGGGAUGGGCUCGCGGCUUAUCAGCUUGUUGGUGGGGUAGUGGCCUACCAAGGCCUUGACGGGUAGCCGGCCUGAGAGGGUGACCGGCCACAUUGGGACUGAGAUACGGCCCAGACUCCUACGGGAGGCAGCAGUGGGGAAUAUUGCACAAUGGGUGGAAGCCUGAUGCAGCAACGCCGUGUGCGGGAUGACGGCCUUCGGGUUGUAAACCGCUUUCGCUCAUGACGAAGCUUUGUGUGACGGUAGUGAGUAAAGAAGCACCGGCUAACUACGUG
rnacentral:rRNA from 1 species